GCCAGCGGUUCGGCCGGGCACUCUAACGGGACUGCCCGCGAAAGCGGGAGGAAGAGGGGACGACGUCUGGUCAGCAUGGCCCUUACGGCCUGGGCGACACACGUGCUACAAUGCCCACUACAAAGCGAUGCCACCCGGCAACGGGGAGCUAAUCGCAAAAAGGUGGGCCCAGUUCGGAUUGGGGUCUGCAACCCGACCCCAUGAAGCCGGAAUCGCUAGUAAUCGCGGAUCAGCCAUGCCGCGGUGAAUACGUUCCCGGGCCUU
rnacentral:rRNA from 1 species